rnacentral:rRNA from 1 species
GAUGAGGAGGCUGAAAAAAUGACAACACCC